ACUCCUACGGGAGGCAGCAGUGGGGAAUAUUGCACAAUGGGCGCAAGCCUGAUGCAGCGACGCCGCGUGGGGGAUGACGGCCUUCGGGUUGUAAACCUCUUUCAGUACCGACGAAGCGCAAGUGACGGUAGGUACAGAAGAAGCACCGGCCAACUACGUGCCAGCAGCCGCGGUAAUACGUAGGGUGCGAGCGUUGUCCGGAAUUACUGGGCGUAAAGCGCAUGCAGGUGGUUUGUUAAGUCAGAUGUGAAAGCCCGGGGCUCAACCUCGGAAUUGCAUUUGAAACUGGCAGACUAGAGUACUGUAGAGGGGGUAGAAUUUCAGGUGUAGCGGUGAAAUGCGUAGAGAUCUGAAGGAAUACCGGUGGCGAAGGCGGCCCCUGGACAGAUACUGACACUCAGAUGCGAAGCGUGGGGAGCAAACAGGAUUAGAUACCCUGGUGGCUCUGC
rnacentral:rRNA from 1 species